ACGGCUCCUCGUCCUGGCGACUCCCAAUCGCUCAGAGAGGAUAAGCCAGAGCUCGCUUUCCAGCAGUCUGACUUUGACCUUGAGCCAGUCUCAACCACAGUCGAGAAUUCCAGUGUGUCUCCUGUGAUUGUGGAGCAUC